GAACGCUGGCGGCGUGCCUAACACAUGCAAGUCGAGCGAGACUCCGGCAGAAGAGACUUCGGUUAAAUCAGUCGGACGAUAGCGGCGGACGGUGAGUAACGCGUAGGCAAUCUGCCCCGUACAGAGGGAUAGCCGUUGGAAACGACGAGUAAGACCUCAUGAUGCAGCACUUUCACAUGGGAGAGCUGCCAAAGAUUUAUCGGUAUGGGAUGAGCCUGCGUCUGAUUAGCUGGUUGGUGAGGUAACGGCCCACCAAGGCGACGAUCAGUAGCCGACCUGAGAGGGUGAUCGGCCACAUUGGAACUGAGACACGGUCCAAACUCCUACGGGAGGCAGCAGUGGGGAAUAUUGCACAAUGGAGGGAACUCUGAUGCAGCAACGCCGCGUGAAGGAUGAAGGUUUUCGGAUCGUAAACUUCUGUCCAUGGGGACGAAGAAAGUGACGGUACCCGUGGAGGAAGCCCGGCUAACUACGUGCC
rnacentral:rRNA from 1 species